rnacentral:rRNA from 1 species
UACGUAGGGUGCAAGCGUUGUCCGGAAUUAUUGGGCGUAAAGAGCUCGUAGGCGGUUUGUUGCGUCGGCUGUGAAAUCCCGAGGCUCAACCUCGGGUCUGCAGUCGAUACGAGCAAACUAGAGUGUUGCAGGGGAGACUGGAAUUCCUGGUGUAGCGGUGAAAUGCGCAGAUAUCAGGAGGAACACCGGUGGGCGAAAGGCG